UCUGAGUUGUGGCAUGUGGGGUCUAGCUCCCUGACCAGUUACCAGACUGGGGCUCCCUGCACUAGGAGCAAGGAGUCUUAGCCAUUGAACCACCAGGGAUGUCCUAGUUUAUUCUUUUGUGUUUGUGACCUGAGGCUCUAAAACGUACCCAGACUACAUUUCUCCCGCCUUGUUCUCUGAUUCUAUGCCCAGCAGUGGUUUCCAGAUCAUAAGAUAUUGUACAAGUUCAAAUAUAGCAGAGGAGACUAAGUCUUGGAACUCCUGAGUGUCCAGGUGGCCAAGCCUUGGGUAUCUCUAAGGAGUUUCAAGUGGAAAACCACGGAAGUGGCUGUAUGCAUUCAGAUGGCUGGGUAACCUGCAGGACGGGUGCAGCCUCAGGACCGGCGGCCCAGCCUCCACCAUCCAGCUCAGUCCUUCUGUGUCCCUGGUGAUGUGACACCACAUUCACUCAAUAAGCUCCUUGAGCUUUUCAGUUUUAACAAAAGCCACAGCCUUCCUGGACUUUUCUUUUAUGGACCUAGUACAUAACCCUGCUGUAUGUCUGCUGGGAUGUUUUGAAA